rnacentral:rRNA from 1 species
UAACGACUCUCGGCAACGGAUAUCUCGGCUCUCGCAUCGAUGAAGAACGUAGCGAAAUGCGAUACUUGGUGUGAAUUGCAGAAUCCCGUGAACCAUCGAGUCUUUGAACGCAAGUUGCGCCCCAAGCCGUUAGGCCGAGGGCACGUCUGUCUGGGUGUCACG